rnacentral:rRNA from 1 species
UACAGGGGGUGCAAACGUUGCUCGGAAUCAUUGGGCGUAAAGCGCACGUAGGCGGUUCGUUAUGUCGGAUGUGAAAACCCUUGGCUUAACCGAGGAAGUGCAUCCGAAACUGGCGAGCUAGAGUACUAAAGAGGAUCGCGGAAUUCCCGGUGUAGAGGUGAAAUUCGUAGAUAUCGGGAGGAACACCGGUGGCGAAGGCGGCGAUCUGGGUAGAUACUGACGCUGAGGUGCGAAAGCGUGGGGAGCAAACAGG